AACGUAGGAGGCGAGCGUUAUCCGGAGUUACUGGGCGUAAAGCGCGUGUAGGUGGCUUGUUACGUCUGCUGUGAAAGCUCCCGGCUUAACCGGGACUAGGCGGUAGAUACGGGCAAGCUAGAGGGUGACAGAGGAGCGUAGAAUUCCCGGUGUAGCGGUGAAAUGCGUAGAGAUCGGGAAGAACAUCGGUGGCGAAAGCGCUCUACUGGACCGCAACUGACACUCAGGGACGAAAGCUAGGGGAGCGAAUGGG
rnacentral:rRNA from 1 species